rnacentral:rRNA from 1 species
CCAGCCAUGUCGCGUGCAGGACGACUGCCCUAUGGGUUGUAAACUGCUUUUGUAUGGAAGAAACGACGGCACGAGUGCUGUUUUGCCGGUACCAUACGAAUAAGGAUCGGCUAACUCCGUGCCAGCAGCCGCGGUAAUACGGAGGAUCCGAGCGUUAUCCGGAUUUAGUUGGGUUUAAAGGGUGCGUAGGCGGGAUAUUAAGUCAGUGGUGAAAGUUUGACGCUCAACGUUAAAAUUGCCAUUGAUACUGGUUUUCUUGAGUACAGUUGAGGUAGGCGGAAUGUGGUGUGUAGCGGUGAAAUGCAUAGAUAUACCACAGAACACCGAUUGCGAAGGCAGCUUACUAAGUUGUAACUGACGCUGAAGCACGAAAGCAUGGGGAUCAAACAGGAUUAGAUACCCUGGUAGUCCAUGCCGUAAACGAUGAUCACUAGCUGUUUGCGAUAUAAAGUAAGUGGCAAAGGGAAACCAUUAAGUGAUCCACCUGGGGAGUACGCCCGCAAGGGUGAAACUCAAAGGAAUUGACGGGGGC